AACGAACGCUGGCGGCAUGCCUAAUACAUGCAAGUCGAACGAGAUCUUCGGAUCUAGUGGCGCACGGGUGCGUAACGCGGGGGAAUAUGCCCUUGGGUUCGGAAUAACUUCCGGAAAAGGAAGCGAAUACCGGAUGAAGACGUAAGUCCAAAGAUUUAUCGCCCAAGGAUGAGCCCGCGUAGGAUUAGGUAGUUGGUGAGGUAAAGGCUCACCAAGCCGACGAUCCUUAGCUGGUCUGAGAGGAUGAUCAGCCACACUGGGACUGAGACACGGCCCAGACUCCUACGGGAGGCAGCAGUAGGGAAUAUUGGACAAUGGGCGAAAGCCUGAUCCAGCCAUGCCGCGUGAGUGAUGAAGGCCUUAGGGUUGUAAAGCUCUUUUACCCGGGAUGAUAAUGACAGUACCGGGAUAAUAAGCUCCGGCUAACUCCGUG
rnacentral:rRNA from 1 species